GUACUUUAACACAUGAAACGAGAAACACAACGCGUUAUAUGAAAAAAAUGACUGCAUUAGGAAUGUACUUAACAUGGUUGAAAACACCUUUCUGGAUCUACACGCGGAAAACGAGGGGGAAAGGUUAUGCUAACAACCUUUAAGUGUGUAUUCACUCACUACGAGCUGAUCUGGAGAAGCCAUCACCCCUGCCGAUAUUAGAUGAGGAGGAACAGCCGGGAUUCAGCCUGUUAAGAACUUUCCGAAUGCAUUCCAGUAGAUUCCAGUCGACAUCUUAGGGCAGAACCUCCAGCAGGAGGGAGUUAUGAGGAUAAGACUGACACUCCAGGGAGCUGCACUCUCUACACCAAGUUGAGCUGCAGGAAGUGACCUUUGAAGGAAUACUCCAGACUCAUUACAGAUUGAUGACAUGUUGUUGACCACAGGAAUAACCGUAAGUCUGCAGUGGUUCUCAAGAUGCGGGGGCCCCAGUUUUAUGACAUUUUUAUACAUUAAUUUAUCAUAUAUUCUGUGUAAUGAAACCAACAGCACUACAUUGUAUCUUUAAAGAGUAACUGAACCCCUGGUCAAAGCCUGACUCCACCCACUGACAAUAUUUAAAAAAUGCAAGAAAAGUGGGAAGACCCCGACGGAGAUAGAGGGGACGAACUGAGCUCGUACCAAGGGUGUGGUGAGAUCUUAACAAGGGCAUGGUAAGCUUGAACCUGCUUACGUCACGUCAUACCGCUUACGUCAUGUCGUACCGCAACAUCCAAUAGGAAAAUUCAACUUCAGUAGCCACCGUUCAACCUUUUACACCAUAUAUUGUAUUAUUGAAACACUUUAUGCCCAAAUAUCAAAAAAGUUACUCAAAUCAAUGAACAGCACUAAUAAAGCCCCAUUCUUACAGAUCAUUAACUAAAAAAAGUUGGUUUAGGGUUUAGUUACUCUUUAAUGUUUUGUUUAAAGAGCACCUAUGGUCCGAUUCACGAUUUUACAUUUC